CCCUUAGAUGUUCUGGGCCGCACGCGCGCUACACUGUUCGACGCAGCGAGUCUUAACCUUGACCGAAAGGUUUGGGUAAUCUUCAGCAAAGUCGAACGUGAUGGGGAUCGAUCAUUGCAAUUAUUGAUCGUGAACGAGGAAUUCCUAGUAAGUGCAAGUCAUCAGCUUGCGCUGAUUACGUCCCUGCCCUUUGUACACACCGCCCGUCGCUACUACCGAUUGAAUGGUUUAGUGUGAUCUCUGGAUUGACGCUGGCUAGGGGGCGACCCUUGGCCAGACUGUUGAGAAACUGCUCAAACUUGAUCAUUUAGAGGAAGUAAAAGUCGUAACA
rnacentral:rRNA from 1 species